CACGAAACUGGGCGAGUUAAUUAGUAACAAGUAUAGCUAUAUUUCUGUAACAUAAGGUAAUAUGAGUUCUAAUUAGGGGUGAUAGGCUUUACAAGUUCAGUGAUAGCUUGAUUUCUUUGAAAAGUUAAGUACGAUUACAGAUCAGGAGUGAUAAGAUUUCUGAUAAGCAUUAAAGUUAUUAAUUAGAUAGCAUGGGCGUAAAAGUCAGUGAAAAUAUAAGUUAACAUGUAUAUUAAGUAUUUGUGUUUUUUAGAGGGGAGUAUUAAACAUUGAAAAAAUAUUUAUAAUGUUGAUAUGAGUAAUUUGUGAGGUAUUAUUAGUGAACUCGGCAACAGGGUUUUCAACUGUUUACCAAAAACAUAGCUAUAUGAUAAUAUAUAUAGUAUUUUCUGCUCCAUGAGUAUUAAAUAGCCGCAGUACCCUGACUGUGCAAAGGUAGCAUAAUCAAUUGUCUCCUAAUUAGAGUCUGGAAUGAAUGAAUAUAUGGGGACCCCCUUUACCAGUAAUAUAUGAUAAAAUUUUUGAGUGAGUGCAAAUACUUAUGUGAUUAAAUAGACGAGAAGACCCUUGAAAUUUUAAUAUAUGUUUUUGUUGGGGCAACAGAGUAACAAAUAAUUUACUUUAUAUACAUGAAAUAUGAUAGGAAGAAUAAAUUACUCUAGGGAUAACAGCAUAAUAUAAUAAUGUUUGUGACCUCGAUGUUGGACUAGGAAGUUAUAGUUUAG
rnacentral:rRNA from 1 species